rnacentral:lncRNA from 1 species
AAAAAAAUUCCAUGAAAACCUUGAGAAAAUUAUUAUUUCACUUGUUUGGCAGCAUUCUAUUUUUUUAUAAAGAUGAACUUUUGUUAUCUUGUCAAAGAAGUAAGACUACUACUUUUAUUACAAAUACUCUAACUGGUUCCAAUUGUUUGGCUAAAAUUUAAAAAAGAUAAAAUUUAUUCUUGGAAUGUUGUCUACUAGAAUUUAAGUGUAAUUUGGUGGCGCUUGAUUAGGAUAAAUUUACAUCUAUGGAAUACAAAGCGUGCUGAAAGUGACUUGGUCAACCAUUUUAAGGUAUGUCAUCCAUAUAAAAUCAGCGAAUGAUAUUUUGAAGACAAAAUAAGUUGUCACAUCUUAAAGAAAGUUAAGAGUUUUUUCAAGACUUUGUAGUCAAAUCAGCUGACCAAGUAAAUGGAUCAUUCAAGAUUGUGCACUCCUGGUUAAACUCUCCUUUGUGCUAAUGAGGUCUAAUAAGGCAGGAA